rnacentral:tRNA from 1 species
UCACGGUAGAGUAUUCGGCUUUUAA